UAGGCUAUCCCAAUCUACACAAACAGGGGCAUUAACUUCAUUGACCACUCCUGGUUCAACAACACAUAUCGGUUCAACAACCCCCGUCUCAGAAUGUACACAUCCCUCACCAGAUUCUACCAUUCCCACUCCCACUCUCGCAUCAGCUAAACUACGCGUAGGCUCCUCCUCGAGCUUGGUGAGAUAAAAAAAAAAAUGAGGCAUGUUAAACGAGGCGCAAUCUACGACGAACUCAGACACAAUCGAAACAACAAAUUGCAGCUACAAGUUGAAAAUGCAAUCACUUACCCACCCAGGAGUGUAAGAUCAUAAGCAUGAUUAAUAU
rnacentral:lncRNA from 1 species